rnacentral:lncRNA from 1 species
AAAGAAUACUCUGCAUUUGGAAAAGAUUCAGACAUCCUCUUCCUCCUCCUCCUCAAGUUCUUGAUCAAGGUUAGUGCUGGUUAUUUUCCAUGUGCCCUUUCAGAUCCACUAUGCUGUUCCUGGCUGCUGCUGUCUGUUCUGGGGGGAUGGAGCUGUGUGUCCUGCUCCACCUGGGCUUUCCGCCCUUUGGAUUCAAUCGGCUUCAGCUGUUAGAAGGAAAGAGCAGGAGAAUGGAGAGAACUAGAAUUCUGGUAUUUAAGUUAAGGAAUCAACCAAAUUUGCAGUUUGCCUGUCAUUUUCUUGUCUCUGCAAAGCAUAAAGACCCACGUUAUUAGCCUUUUUACGAAGUCUUCUCACCUGCCUCAGUCUCCCACCAGAUAAUUCUUUCUUCUAUAAUGAUAUCAGCUUAUAAUUAACUUUGCAAGAAGCUGUAAUAGAAGAAUCAAACUCUGGUUGGCUCUAAGAUGGAGGCUCCAGGUCUCAGGCAGCAGCAGCAACAUUCUAUAAUCAGGAUUUGUCCACAUUCCUUGAGCCCCGCUGCAAAGGAGGAAGAAGAACAUGGAGGGUGGGGCAGGGCUGAUCUUAGAGCAGGCACAAGAUGUGGCCAGUUCACGAAGACCACUGAGAAGAACCGCAGUUUCCUCAUUGUUUCUCUACCUCCCCAGUCUUGCUCAAGAAAAGGACUGAAAUUUAAUAUAUAAUUCUAUUCUCUUUAAGACCUUGACUGAGAAGAGAGAAGGGGUAGUAGACAGCACAAUAGGUUAGUUUAGGGAUAGGUGUGUGGAGGGGAGAAAUCAGGGUGAUUUGCUUGCUGAGAAGACAGAGUGGUUCCUGGAGGCAAAGCCUGCUCACGUGAAAAAAGAAGCCUACUUCUACCAAAGCCUUGGCAAGCAAGUGAUGCUAGCACUUGGAAAAUGAACCACACAUUGAAGGGAAUGGAGCUCAUCGAGUUAACAACCUGACUUGCUUGUUCAGCUGUAGACUGUAAUAGUUAACAUUUAUUGAGCGCAAACGGUGACUUGAGGACUCCUCUAAGCAUCUCACAUAUAUUAAAUGAUGAAUUAAUUAAAUGCUUAUAAUAGUCCUAUGAUCUUGGUGCUAUCAUGUAUACACUUUAAAGUUGAGGAAUCUGUAGCACAAAUGCUUAUACCCCAGAUCAUUCAGGUGGUUUGGGUUCACUUUUAACCACUAAUCCAUGCCACCUUUCUACUGAUUUUCUCUGCACCUUUUUUGAGUACUGAAUUUAUCCUAGGAGAAGUCUAUACCCUACUUCUACCACCACUGUCUAAAUAAAGAUGGAGAAGGACUGAGGUUUUAUACA